AUGGGAAAGUAUUCCCUCACAUUCACAGCAAACUCUAAAGUCUGUAGCCCCUGGAUAUCAUCAGCUAGUGGGCUACCGGGUAAAAAAAGUGGGCGCAUCAAGAUUGAAGCUGCAAUCCGCCUAGGAUUUUGUGUCAUGCAAAAGUGGGACCCAUCUCACAUGCCCCAUGCACAUGACAACCACUUGUCUCCUACCUCCUCUUGCAUCUCACCGUUGCCAUUCCAUUUCAUUUACCCCACCCCCUGUGACUUCUCCCUCUCACCACCACAGUUUUUUGACAGAGCGACUGUUCCUCCGGGUCCUAGAUGUUUAGGGCCGGGCACCAGCACACAGCCAAGGAGAUGGAGAGAAUUACUAUACUAUAAUAACAGUUUUUACAUAAGUUCAGUACAAGGCAAAAAGAAAAAUCUACAUAAGAUGAAAACAUCCAUCAACUGA
rnacentral:rRNA from 1 species